GAAUGUCAGGCAGGGGAAGGGACAGCAUGGAGACAAGGACGGAUGUCCGGCUGCCUCCCUGAGACCUAUCAACUCCCCCCUCUCCCGCUGCACACCAGCAAGGCACUCGAACUUAAAAAGAGCCAUCAAGGAGGCUGACUGGGCACUAUACGCUCAUAAAAGCCAGUCCCUCCAACCCAGGCCUAAGGGGUCAGCCCCGUCACUCAAACGCCCCUGGCCACCAUGGGCGGAUGCAGAGCAGCGAGCACCCUUGCAGAGGGCUCCCGGGAGAAGUGACCGGCAGUUCC